rnacentral:rRNA from 1 species
UGGGGAAUCUUGGACAAUGGGCGCAAGCCUGAUCCAGCAAUGCCGCGUGGGUGAAGAAGGCCUUCGGGUUGUAAAGCCCUUUCGGCGGGGAAGAAAUCGGUCAGGCGAAUAGUCUGGCUGGAUGACGGUACCCGCAGAAGAAGCACCGGCUAACUACGUGCCAGCAGCCGCGGUAAUACGUAGGGUGCGAGCGUUAAUCGGAAUUACUGGGCGUAAAGGGUGCGCAGGCGGCCCUGUAAGACCGGUGUGAAAUCCCCGGGCUCAACCUGGGAAUUGCGCUGGUGACUGCAGGGCUAGAGUACGGUAGAGGGGGGUGGAAUUCCUGGUGUAGCAGUGAAAUGCGUAGAGAUCAGGAGGAACACCGAUGGCGAAGGCAGCCCCCUGGGCCUGUACUGACGCUCAUGCACGAAAGCGUGGGGAGCAAACAGG